rnacentral:rRNA from 1 species
CAGCCGCCGCGGUAAUACGAAGGGUGCAAGCGUUAAUCGGAAUUACUGGGCGUAAAGCGUGCGUAGGCGGUUUGUUAAGUCUGCUGUGAAAUCCCCGGGCUCAACCUGGGAAUGGCAGUGGAUACUGGCAAGCUAGAGUGUGUCAGAGGAUGGUGGAAUUCCCGGUGUAGCGGUGAAAUGCGUAGAGAUCGGGAGGAACAUCGGUGGCGAAGGCGGCCACCUGGGACAACACUGACGCUGAGGCACGAAAGCGUGGGGAGCAAACAGGAUUAGAUACCCGCGUAGUCCCUGUCUCUUAUAC